GCCCUCGUAGCUCAGGUGGAUAGAGCGACAGAUUCCUAAUCUGUAGGUCCCGUGUUCGAGUCGCGGCGGGGGCACCA
rnacentral:tRNA from 1 species